CCAGUUACUCCUGUUAUUUUUAUUUUACUAUUUUUAUUCCAUGAUUUUAUUAAGAAAUUUUUAAAAAUUGUUAUAUCACUUCCUGUAUCAAUUAAGGCACAAGUUGUUAUGUUUGUUUCUACUAUAGUAACUUGUAUAUAUACUGCCAAUGGAAAACUAAUUUGAUUAUUCAUCCACUUCCUAUUCUACAUAAUGUAGUUUGUCCUUUAUGAGUUAUAUAUAAUCCUUCUCUUUUUAUACUAUAAUCUUCUAAUCCAUUUAAGAAACUCAUUCCUAAUAAUAUAUGAGGUUCAAUAUCCAUACUUUCAUCCAAAUAACAUGGUACUAAAAGAUCAAUCCCACCUAUUUUUAUUGGUACUUUUACCUUUAAUUCUGUAACAUAUAGCUGUCCAUCAAAAUUCCUGUAUUCAUAUGGUUCUAUCUUGUAAGUCAUUAAUCCUUCAUUUUUAUUUGCAGCCAUAUGACAUUCACCAGCUCCUGUAUCUAUUAAUAUAUUUGGUCCUUUUAUAUAUCUUCUACCAUUGAAAUAU
rnacentral:lncRNA from 1 species